rnacentral:snRNA from 1 species
GUCCUCGCUUCGGCAGCACAUAUACUAAAAAUUGGAACAAUACAGAGAAGACUAGUGUGGCCCCUGUGCAAGGAUGACACGCAAAUUCGUGAAGCGUUCCAUAUUUAA